GAUGAACGCUGGCGGCGUGCCUAAUACAUGCAAGUCGAGCGAACGGACGAGAAGCUUGCUUCUCUGAUGUUAGCGGCGGACGGGUGAGUAACACGUGGAUAACCUACCUAUAAGACUGGGAUAACUUCGGGAAACCGGAGCUAAUACCGGAUAAUAUUUUUGCACCGCAUGGUUCAAAAGUGAAUGACGUUCUUGCUGUCUCUUAUAGAUGGAUCCGCGCUGCAUUAGCUAGUUGGUAAGGUAACGGCUUACCAAGGCAACAAUGCAUAGUCGACCUGAGAAGGUGAUCACCCACACUGGAACAGAAACACGGUCCAGACUAAUAGGGGAGGCAGCAGAAGGGGAUAUUCCGCGAUGGGCGAAAGCCUGACGGAGCAACGCAGCGUGAGUGAUGAAGGGAUUCGGAUCGUAAAACUCUGUUAUUAGGGAAGAACAGAUGUGUAAGUAACUGUGCACAACUUGACGGUACCUAAUCAGAAAGCAACGGCUAACUACGUG
rnacentral:rRNA from 1 species